ACCUCUGUGAUGUAGUGGUAGUAACAUGCGUCUCCGGUAUGUAUGAAACGCGGGUUCGAUUCCCUGCUGAGGCA